UGACUGAAUGUACCGCUUGAUAUCCAAGAACCAAGGUUCUCCAUCGAGCUCUUCUUCAACCGCAUUACAGUAAGCAUGCUGAUCACGACUCUGUAUAUACACUGGAUCGAUGUAGGCUUUGUCAGGAUGUUGGAGCAUUGAAGACAGAGUGGCUAAAGCAUCAGCAAUUUCAUUACGAAUCCUUGGAAUAUGCCUAAAUUUUACUAACAUAAACCAUUGACAUAGCUCCUGCAAGCAUUGUCGAUACGGGAUGAGCUUCAAAUCUCGC
rnacentral:lncRNA from 1 species